AGUGAACGCUGGCGGUAGGCCUAACACAUGCAAGUCGAACGGCAGCACAGUAAGAGCUUGCUCUUACGGGUGGCGAGUGGCGGACGGGUGAGGAAUACAUCGGGAUCUACUUUUUCGUGGGGGAUAACGUAGGGAAACUUACGCUAAUACCGCAUACGACCUACGGGUGAAAGCAGGGGAUCUUCGGACCUUGCGCGAUUGAAUGAGCCGAUGUCGGAUUAGCUAGUUGGCGGGGUAAAGGCCCACCAAGGCGACGAUCCGUAGCUGGUCUGAGAGGAUGAUCAGCCACACUGGAACUGAGACACGGUCCAGACUCCUACGGGAGGCAGCAGUGGGGAAUAUUGGACAAUGGGCGCAAGCCUGAUCCAGCCAUACCGCGUGGGUGAAGAAGGCCUUCGGGUUGUAAAGCCCUUUUGUUGGGAAAGAAAAGCAGCAGGUUAAUACCCCGCUGUUCUGACGGUACCCAAAGAAUAAGCACCGGCUAACUUCG
rnacentral:rRNA from 1 species